rnacentral:rRNA from 1 species
CAGCAGCCGCGGGAAUACGUAGGGUGCAAGCGUUAAUCGGAAUUACUGGGCGUAAAGCGUGCGCAGGCGGUUGUGUAAGUCUGAUGUGAAAGCCCCGGGCUCAACCUGGGAACUGCAUUGGAGACUGCACGGCUAGAGUGCGUCAGAGGGGGGUAGAAUUCCGCGUGUAGCAGUGAAAUGCGUAGAGAUGCGGAGGAAUACCGAUGGCGAAGGCAGCCCCCUGGGAUGACACUGACGCUCAUGCACGAAAGCGUGGGGAGCAAACAGGAUUAGAUACCCCAGUAGUCCCUGUCUCUUAUAC